rnacentral:rRNA from 1 species
ACAGAGGUCCCAAGCGUUGUUCGGAUUCAUUGGGCGUAAAGGGUGCGUAGGUGGCAUGGUUAGUCGGGUGUGAAAUCCCGGGGCUCAACCCCGGAACUGCACUCGAUACUGCCGUGCUGGAGUACUGGAGAGGAGACUGGAAUUUACGGUGUAGCAGUGAAAUGCGUAGAUAUCGUAAGGAAGACCGGUGGCGAAAGCUAGUCUCUGGACAGUCACUGACACUGAGGCACGAAGGCUAGGGGAGCAAACGGGA